UUAAGCGACUAAGCGUACACGGUGGAUGCCCUGGCAGUCAGAGGCGAUGAAGGACGUGCUAAUCUGCGAAAAGCGUCGGUAAGGUGAUAUGAACCGUUAUAACCGGCGAUGUCCGAAUGGGGAAACCCAGUGCAAUUCGUUGCACUAUCGUUAACUGAAUACAUAGGUUAACGAGGCGAACCGGGGGAACUGAAACAUCUAAGUACCCCGAGGAAAAGAAAUCAACCGAGAUUCCCCCAGUAGCGGCGAGCGAACGGGGAGCAGCCCAGAGUCUGAAUCAGCUUGUGUGUUAGUGGAACGGUCUGGAAAGUCCGACGGUACAGGGUGAUAGUCCCGUACACCAAAAUGCACAGGCUGUGAACUCGAAGAGUAGGGCGGGACACGUGGUAUCCUGUCUGAAUAUGGGGGGACCAUCCUCCAAGGCUAAAUACUCCUGACUGACCGAUAGUGAACCAGUACCGUGAGGGAAAGGCGAAAAGAACCCCGGCGAGGGGAGUGAAAAAGAACCUGAAACCGUGUACGUACAAGCAGUGGGAGCACCUUCGGGUGUGACUGCGUACCUUUUGUAUAAUGGGUCAGCGACUUAUAUUCUGUAGCAAGGUUAACCGUAUAGGGGAGCCGCAGGGAAACCGAGUCUUAACUGGGCGUUAAGUUGCAGGGUAUAGACCCGAAACCCGGUGAUCUAGCCAUGGGCAGGUUGAAGGUUGGGUAACACUAACUGGAGGACCGAACCGACUAAUGUUGAAAAAUUAGCGGAUGACUUGUGGCUGGGGGUGAAAGGCCAAUCAAACCGGGAGAUAGCUGGUUCUCCCCGAAAGCUAUUUAGGUAGCGCCUCGUGAAUUCAUCUUCGGGGGUAGAGCACUGUUUCGGCUAGGGGGUCAUCCCGACUUACCAACCCGAUGCAAACUACGAAUACCGAAGAAUGUUAUCACGGGAGACACACGGCGGGUGCUAACGUCCGUCGUGAAGAGGGAAACAACCCAGACCGCCAGCUAAGGUCCCAAAGUCAUGGUUAAGUGGGAAACGAUGUGGGAAGGCACAGACAGCCAGGAUGUUGGCUUAGAAGCAGCCAUCAUUUAAAGAAAGCGUAAUAGCUCACUGGUCGAGUCGGCCUGCGCGGAAGAUGUAACGGGGCUAAACCAUGCACCGAAGCUGCGGCAGCGACACUAUGUGUUGUUGGGUAGGGGAGCGUUCUGUAAGCCUGCGAAGGUGACCUGUGAGGGUUGCUGGAGGUAUCAGAAGUGCGAAUGCUGACAUAAGUAACGAUAAAGCGGGUGAAAAGCCCGCUCGCCGGAAGACCAAGGGUUCCUGUCCAACGUUAAUCGGGGCAGGGUGAGUCGACCCCUAAGGCGAGGCCGAAAGGCGUAGUCGAUGGGAAACAGGUUAAUAUUCCUGUACUUGGUGUUACUGCGAAGGGGGGACGGAGAAGGCUAUGUUAGCCGGGCGACGGUUGUCCCGGUUUAAGCAUGUAGGCUGAUUGUCCAGGCAAAUCCGGAUAAUCAAGGCUGAGGUGUGAUGACGAGGCACUACGGUGCUGAAGUAACAAAUGCCCUGCUUCCAGGAAAAGCCUCUAAGCAUCAGGUAACAUCAAAUCGUACCCCAAACCGACACAGGUGGUCAGGUAGAGAAUACCAAGGCGCUUGAGAGAACUCGGGUGAAGGAACUAGGCAAAAUGGUGCCGUAACUUCGGGAGAAGGCACGCUGGUGUGUAGGUGAAGUCCCUGCGGAUGGAGCUGAGACCAGUCGAAGAUACCAGCUGGCUGCAACUGUUUAUUAAAAACACAGCACUGUGCAAACACGAAAGUGGACGUAUACGGUGUGACGCCUGCCCGGUGCCGGAAGGUUAAUUGAUGGGGUUAUCCGUAAGGAGAAGCUCUUGAUCGAAGCCCCGGUAAACGGCGGCCGUAACUAUAACGGUCCUAAGGUAGCGAAAUUCCUUGUCGGGUAAGUUCCGACCUGCACGAAUGGCGUAAUGAUGGCCAGGCUGUCUCCACCCGAGACUCAGUGAAAUUGAACUCGCUGUGAAGAUGCAGUGUACCCGCGGCAAGACGGAAAGACCCCGUGAACCUUUACUAUAGCUUGACACUGAACAUUGAGCCUUGAUGUGUAGGAUAGGUGGGAGGCUUUGAAGCGUGGACGCCAGUCUGCGUGGAGCCAACCUUGAAAUACCACCCUUUAAUGUUUGAUGUUCUAACGUUGGCCCCUGACCGGGGUUGCGGACAGUGUCUGGUGGGUAGUUUGACUGGGGCGGUCUCCUCCCAAAGCGUAACGGAGGAGCACGAAGGUUAGCUAAUCCUGGUCGGACAUCAGGAGGUUAGUGCAAUGGCAUAAGCUAGCUUGACUGCGAGCGUGACGGCGCGAGCAGGUGCGAAAGCAGGUCAUAGUGAUCCGGUGGUUCUGAAUGGAAGGGCCAUCGCUCAACGGAUAAAAGGUACUCCGGGGAUAACAGGCUGAUACCGCCCAAGAGUUCAUAUCGACGGCGGUGUUUGGCACCUCGAUGUCGGCUCAUCACAUCCUGGGGCUGAAGUAGGUCCCAAGGGUAUGGCUGUUCGCCAUUUAAAGUGGUACGCGAGCUGGGUUUAGAACGUCGUGAGACAGUUCGGUCCCUAUCUGCCGUGGGCGCUGGAGAAUUGAGGGGGGCUGCUCCUAGUACGAGAGGACCGGAGUGGACGCAUCACUGGUGUUCGGGUUGUCAUGCCAAUGGCACUGCCCGGUAGCUAAAUGCGGAAGAGAUAAGUGCUGAAAGCAUCUAAGCACGAAACUUGCCCCGAGAUGAGUUCUCCCUGAGACUUUAAGUCUCCUGAAGGAACGUUAAAGACGAUGACGUUGAUAGGCCGGGUGUGUAAGCGCAGCGAUGCGUUGAGCUAACCGGUACUAAUGAACCGUGAGGCUUAACCUU
rnacentral:rRNA from 1 species